rnacentral:lncRNA from 1 species
GAGAUGUUUAAUUGAUGAAGAUGGAGAAUUGGCUAGCCUAUGAUGGGUGGCAUUGAAUGUGCUUUUGCUUAUUCACCAGGGCUUGGGAUCCACUGCUGUGUUUCCAUUUAUUUUGGUCAAUAUAGUAAUCGCUGGUGGAUGCCGAGGGAAUUUAUCAAGGUGAUUGCCGUGUGUUCGAUUCCAUUAAUUAUUUAAUUACAGUUUUUUUUAUCCCUACCUGAAAUUUCUUCCUUUCGGUGAACAAUCUAUUUGCGCGUCGCUGUCACAGCUGUUUUUUUAAAUUGAGAAUAAUAGAUGAUUAGGGGAUUAAAGUCAUUAACAUUAGAAAAUAAAACCAUAAUAAUUUUAGAUGAUUAUAGAUUAGAGUUAUUAAUAUUAGAAAAGAAAAUCAUUAAUAAUUUAAAACAACCUUUUUAUUAAUAUUUUUUUAUUGAUUUAUUAUUUUUGUUAUUUUUGUGACAGGUCAAUCUUCAGGUGGAUGUGAUAUUAUUUGUGAUAGUGAGGACGUGGUGAUUUUUCAGUAGAAGUCUAGAACAAAAUACAGUGAAAUCCCCCCAGCCGUACCAGAGAAACAUUUUACCUCCAAAAUUGGAAAAUUAUUAAUUAGUUCAUUGAAAUUAUUUUUUGUGCUGGGGAAGGUUUGCUUCGGGCUUGGGGAAACCUUCGUCCUCAUGGACCUUGUAAUUAUUCUCCACGGUCACUUUCUGCUUGCCUCCACCGAUCGAUUGGGCCCCCUCUGCAGCAGCAGCAGCGUUAAAGCUCUCAAAUUUUGUGCCGUGAACCCGUCGAACGCGGCUGCGUUUCUUUCAUUUGGCCCUAGCGAAUAGCCUCUCAUUGCCUCUCUCGCUCCUCUGACCCAAGCCGCCUUCUCAGCUAACGCCAGCAAGCCCAGGUCCCGGCACCAGUGCCGUCUUCGGCCAUUUAGUUCUCUGGAGGUGGAGAGGGCGUGGAUCGCUUUCGGGGCAUGCUCCGUCGCUUCCGGAUUUGAUGCGUCACUCGUUAACCAUCUACUUGCCAGCUGAAACGUCGUCUUCAAGGACUGGUUGGCUGUGUCGUCGUCCUUGUGACACAACAUCCUCCGUAAUGUUGUACUGGGGUUGGUCCGGUUCCACCUCCCGGUCGUCGGGGCAUCAGCAAUCUUGGGCAACAAUGCUGAAAUCCUCCUAUCAGCUGUUCUAUUGGCAGACUCAUCAGCCCACCAUUCCCUCCACCUAUGCCUCCCAGUCAACGACCUCCUCCACCACCAGUAUCAGCGGUCGGACCGUAUGAAGGCCCGCUCGCUCCGGCAGCGAGCAGCACCAUAAGGAUACCUCAAGUGCAGCUCUCAUCACUUCCUUCACUGCAACACCCUAUGCUCAAUCGAUGAGGGUGAGCUGGCAAGGUCGAAGUGGUUGGAGAGGGCGAGGUGGCGGUUGUUGUAGGCAACGCGGAUGCGGGGGAUGGCCCUGGUGUCGAGCGAGAGGAGGUGGGCGAGGAUAAAGUGGAGGAUAUAGCGGGGGAUGGGCCUGGCGCCCCCCACGGCUGCGGACAGCUUUGGCUGGUGGCCUUCGGCAUUCAGGCUCGAUGUCUUUCUCCAUCGCCUGAUCACCGUGGAAUCCUCGCUUUAUCUCGUUAGCGGGCGGAGCGUGCGAACAUCGGUUUGCUUGGUCCCUGGUAGCAGCAGCAGUGGAUACAAGAGAUAAAACUUACUUUGAGGGCUAAUUUUUAUUUCAUUCUUAAUAGCCAAAGAUGAUUUAGCACAAUCACUGGGAUUUUCUGUUAAGAUUAUGAGCUAUAAUUAUCUUUUAUAUUUGAUUUGAUUUAGCAUAAUCAGUGAGAUUUUCUAUUAAGAUUAUGCUGUUUCUCUCGAUUGGCCGGUUCGCCAACUUAUGUUAAAAAUACGUUCUUACAUAGACAUUUGAACG